rnacentral:lncRNA from 1 species
CAUAUAAAAUGAUGCAUUAUAAGCAUUUAACAAAAUUCACUCUUUUGCAAAAGACCCUUUUAAGAGGGUAAAAAAACAAGCUACAGAGUAGGAAAAAAAUAUUUGCAAACCACAUAUCCAACAAUAGACUAGUAUCUAGAAUAAAGGGGAUCUCUGUAUUAUUUCUUACAACUGCAUAUGAAUUCUAUAAUUAUCUCAAAAGUUUAAUCCAGCUACUCAGGAGGCUAAGGUGAGAGGAUCGCUUGAGCCCAGGAGACGGAGGUUGCAGUGAGCCAAGAUUGCCCACUGCACUCUAGCCAGGACAAGAGAGGGAGAGACCCUGUUUCAAAAAAAAAAAAAAGAAAAAAGAAAAUAUCCCCCUUACAGAAAAAUAAGCAAAAGACAUACACAAAAGCCCUUAAACAUAUUAUUGUGAGAUUUUCAGCCUCACUCACAAUAAGAAAAAGAAAAAGAAAAACUACACUGAAACACUAUUUAUCACAUCAUAUUGACAAAAGCCCAAAAGUCUUUGGGUUGUUGAAAAAGCUACGGAGAACUUUAUUGAAAGAGCUACAAAGAAAUGAGCAAUCUCAUAGACUGCUAGAGGGAGAACAAAAUGGUACAACCUCUAAAGUGGGUAAUACCUACCAAAUUCCAGAUACAUUCAUCAUUUUACUUAGCAAUCUUACUUCUGGGAAUCUAUCCUAUAGAUACAGUAUGAAAUGUACAACAGGCCGAGCGCAGUGGCUCAGGCAUGUAAUCCCAGCACUUUGGGAGGCCGNNNNNNNNNNNNNNNNNNNNNNNNNNNNNNNNNNN